rnacentral:misc_RNA from 1 species
GUGAAUUUGUUCACUUAAAGAACACCAUAUUGACCACAAAUAUGGAUAAACUAAAACAGCUAAUAUUAAAGCAAACUGCCAUCAUCAUGACAUGUAACCUGUAUAAAGUCUAAGCUGCUCACAUAGUUGAAUAGCAACUUAUCUAGAAUGCAGAUCAACACAUCCAAUGAAGUAACCAGUAAAGCAUCUAACUAAUUCUCCGACGGAAACACUUCUAAGUUCCCCCAUUGCAGUAGUGUACACCAUUACUAACUGUGUCAUUGUGUUCCAUUUUUACUUGAUUCAAACCCCAUAUGCGAAUUGUAUGAUCAUCACUAGCAGAAGCCAACAUAUGAGGAUCUGCUGGAUUCCAGCUAACACAGUUUACUGUUCCAGAAUGUCCCGCCAACGUCUCAACAAGUUCUCCUGAGCUUAUGUGCCAUAUAUAAACCUGGGAGUCCUCACUUCCACUAGAAAUAAAUUCUUGAUUCAGUCCGCCAAAGCAAGAUCUUAUGACGAAGCGUGAACGUUUAUGCCCAUUAUAUUUGGAUAUGAGUUUUGCAGUUCCCUCUAUAUCCCACAGAUGAAUUUCUUGAUUCCAAAGGCUAACCAAUAAAUACUUAUUGUCUGUGGACAGUACAAAUGAUGUUACUGUUUGAUCCUCCUGAAUAACUUUCUCUGCUUUUGAUUCCCAUCCAAAUAAUAGUAUCAUAUUAUCUUUACAAACAGAGACUACAUGCUUCCCGUCACUAGUUAUCCCCAAGUCUGAUAUUCUAAUAGUCCGAUGGCCUUUCCAACACUCCAACUCUUUCCCUUCCAGAUCCCACAUGCUAAUGCUUUUGUCUGUAACACCGCAUAAUAUCCUGUUCCCAUCAGGAGCCCAUCCACACGAGAUCAAACCAAGACCAUUUUUCUCAUAAAUAUGUAUACAUUCACCUGAUUCAACAUCCCAUCGUCUGACAACUUCCUCUACCCCACAAGUAAGGAGUUGAUGGUCAUCAGGACUCCAUGAAAUAUUGGAGACAGGUUUCUGGUGUCCAGAAAACCGGUGCUUCACACAGAAAAAACCAUCCAAUUUCACCUCCCAUAUGAUCACCAAACAAUCAGCAGCUGACGAGGCCAAGUAUUUUCCACCGUGGGAGAACUGUAAGAACCAUACUUCAUCACCGUGAUCUUGUAAUAUCUGCAAAGUUUGAGAUGGAAUUUGAUCUCUUCCGCACUGAUGAUCAGUAAGCAAAGACAUCUCACCUACCAACGAGUUGUGAAACCUACAAGCAUCUAGUUGCAAGUCAAGAGCCUGUUCGACGAGAUGUACCAAUCUUUGUUCACGAAUUAUGACCGCGGGUGGAAGCAAUUUCUGCAAUUCCCCUAGGAGUUUUGUUCGUGACUUUGGUCGCACAACAUCUUGACCUGACAUCCCAGCAAGAACCUGCUGUAAAGGUGAUAGAAUGCACAAAGAAAGCUCACGGACUCUAUCAUUGUUUACGCAAAGAGGUCCAAGCUCAGUCCUCAAUGUCUUCAAAGCAUCCAUGACAUUUUUUCCAUCCAACAGUUCAAAAAACUUCUGUUCCAAUAUCUCAAAUGAUGCCAAUUUAACAAUUUUUUCAUCUAUUAGACCAAUUUUAUGUAAAGUGGCAACACUUUCAUCCCAUUUACCAUCAAGGAUUUGCUGCAUAAAUAACUUUACUUCAGCAGAUUGCAAAGGAAUCCCAGACUCUUCUUCUAGACGUGCACCAGCUUUGUUAUAACCAAGAGAAUAUAAUGCCUCUGCUACGAUUCGCACAAAUUCAACUUUCUUAACAACCCCUUUUGCACCAACGACCUCAUCGUCCCCUUGACGAACCAGGGGGUGAGCCAUCAAGUCAUUCAGUGAGCAACUUGCAGGAUCAGUCAGAAGUGUACUCUUUGGAAGAUCUCCCUUUCUGGAGGAUACCUUCACACGUUUUGGUGGUGGUUCAUCAUCCUCUGCACGUCCCAUAAAUAUAUACUUCAGCCCAUAUAUAACAACAGGGGGAAAACAGAACUUCAAGUAGAAAUUGCAAUAUCAGUUCCUUCAAUGAUGAAAACAGCACCCACACAGUAUCAAUAUAUGUGCAUAGAAUCUCCAGUACCCUGAGGUUUCAGAUCAAAAUGAAGAUCGAAUAGUGGGUAAGCAAUCAAGGAAUUGAUAAACAAACAGGGGAAUAGACACAAACGAUGAUGAUGAGGUCCGAGAGGCACAAUAUGUAGAGAUUGGGUCUUUGUUAAUGGCGGUUCGAAGGGGCACAUGUG